rnacentral:rRNA from 1 species
AUGAGAAGACNACAGGGAUUCCCCUAGUAACGGCGAGUGAAGCGGGAACAGCUCAAAUUUGAAAUCUGGCCUUCGGGUCCGAAUUGUAAUUUGCAGAGGAUGCUUUUGGUUAGGUACUUUCCGAGUUCCCUGGAACGGGACGCCUUAGAGGGUGAGAGCCCCGUACGGUUGGAUACCGAGCCUUUGUAAAGCUCCUUCGACGAGUCGAGUAGUUUGGGAAUGCUGCUCUAAAUGGGAGGUAAAUUUCUUCUAAAGCUAAAUACCGGCCAGAGACCGAUAGCGCACAAGUAGAGUGAUCGAAAGAUGAAAAGCACUUUGAAAAGAGGGUUAAAUAGCACGUGAAAUUGUUGAAAGGGAAGCGUUUAUGACCAGACUUUUUCCAGGCGGAUCAUCCGGUGUUCUCACCGGUGCACUUCGUCUGGUUGAGGCCAGCAUCGGUUUUCGUAGAGGGAUAAAAGCAGUAGGAAUGUGGUUCCUCCGGGAAUGUUAUAGCCUAUUGUAUAAUACCUUUAUGGGGACCGAGGUUCGCGCUCUGCAAGGAUGCUGGCGUAAUGGUCAUCAACGACCCGUCUUGAAACACGGACCAAGGAGUCGAACAUUUGUGCGAGUGUUGGGGGUGGAAAACCCUCACGCGUAAUGAAAGUGAACGGAGGUGAGAGCCCUUACGGGUGCAUCAUCGACCGAUCCUGAUGUUUUC